ensembl:ncRNA lncRNA:CR45655 long non-coding RNA:CR45655
AGGAACUUAAUACAAUGAAGGCGGGGACUUCUUUGUUGGCUUCCCCCAUUUUGCUUUUCAGCUGGCAUUGUUUUACUUGCCAAGUCUUUCAGCUGCUUUGUAAGAAAAUUUGCUUAUUUAUUUGUUAAACUUGAAAUCCCCACCGAGGAAGGGAUGCCUUAAGAUGAAAUACUAUCGACUCUACAGAACUCUCAAGUGCUGCAAAUUAAGUUAACAAAUUGUAGCCAGGGGUUGGUUUUAUCCCGUUUGCAAUUAAAUGAAUAUAUAGUGCCUAGAAGGAAUCUCUUUAUUUAAAGAACAC